rnacentral:rRNA from 1 species
UCGAGAAUCUUCGGCAAUGGGCGAAAGCCUGACCGAGCGAUGCCGCGUGCGGGAUGAAGGCCCUCGGGUUGUAAACCGCUGUCAGUUGGGAGGAAGUGCCGAUGAAGAAUCGGUAUUGACCUAUCUUCAGAGGAAGUCCGGGCUAAGUUCGUGCCAGCAGCCGCGGUAACACGAACCGGACGAACGUUAUUCGGAAUUAUUGGGCUUAAAGGGUGCGUAGGCGGCCAUGUAGGUGGGGUGUGAAAUCCCUCGGCUCAACCGAGGAACUGCGCUCCAAACCACAUGGCUAGAGGGAGACAGAGGUAAGCGGAACUGAUGGUGGAGCGGUGAAAUGCGUUGAUAUCAUCAGGAACACCAGUGGCGAAAGCGGCUUACUGGGUCUCUUCUGACGCUGAGGCACGAAAGCUAGGGUAGCGAACGGGAUUAGAUACCCCCGUAGUCC